GGUCAGUAAACGUGACGGACAAAUUCAACUUGGGUUGUUGACAAACAAGAAAAAUAACCUAUAUAUGGACUAUACGUGAUAUUUUUAGAUUAAUGUAUGCCAUAUAAAGCAACAAAUUUGAGUUCAGAACCGCUCACUACCAUAUAAAUACUUAGUGAGAAUUCGAAGUAGAGACUAACGUAAUAGAAGAGGCUGACAGAAUGGAAGCGUAUUUUGCUGUUCAUAAAAGCAAAAGUUUAUCUUUAUAAUAUAAUGAAACAAACGUUGUGAUAUAUCUAAUAUUAAUAUAUUAUGUGUUGUAUUUUUUUCGUCCACUAAAUAUUGAUUUUUUGUAUAGAAUGUUUAUAUAUUGAUAGAUAUAUUUGUGUAUAACUAUAUGUUAAUCAACUUUAUGUUAUUGUUAAGCUGGUAACGUAGAUAAUAAAAGGGGAGGGGGGAAAUCACUUUAACGAUAAUAUUACCCUACAAUGUAUUUGUUUUAUUUUAUUUACUUGGUUUUAACUCCCAAAUUGUAGAGUAGCUAUAUAACAAUAGACUCUCUGACCCAAUCAUCUUCCAGAAUGAUAAAUAUAUCAAAAUAUUACUGUAUGUCAAAAGAUUAAAAUGAAAGUGAAUAUCUCUCCGCAUAAAUAAUUCGUAUCUAUCUAUAUUGUUGCAAUUUUAUCAGACCAUAAUGAUUUUAAAUAAAUAGA